UACGGAGGGUGCAAGCGUUAUCCGGAUUUACUGGGUUUAAAGGGUGCGUAGGUGGGUCUGUAAGUCAGUGGUGAAAUCUUCGAGCUUAACUCGGAAACUGCCAUUGAUACUAUAGGUCUUGAAUCAUCUGGAGGUGAGCGGAAUAUGUCAUGUAGCGGUGAAAUGCUUAGAUAUGACAUAGAACACCGAUUGCGAAGGCAGCUCACUACGGAUGUAUUGACGCUGAGGCACGAAAGCGUGGGGAUCAAACAGG
rnacentral:rRNA from 1 species